rnacentral:lncRNA from 1 species
CAGAGAGAGGGGAGCUGGAACAUGUUAGGGCCCCCGAAAGCCAAGAUACCCCAGAGCCCAGGAAUCUGAGAAGAGUCCACGUUGAGGGCAGCGUUCGCCUGCGUUCUCUGCCAAGGGGCUGUGGAUUUCGGGACUGAGCACCGUGUCCCGGGACCUCAUCCCCAGGAGGCAGGGCCAUGGGACAGCCCCCAGCGCCAGCCGUGUGGAAUGUGCCACUCUUGGAACUGAGGCUCUCGGUUUUUAAAAUUGGCUUGUAAAUCUCCGUGUAGUUUUCAGGCUUUAGGAAUUUUAUUUUAUCUGGAUUAAAGUCAUGUUCUGCUUUGGCAUAGGAAGGCGUUUAUGACUGUUAAAACAAGAAAUGAAAAAUAUAGGCCUGCAAUCAGCCGGGCUGCCUCCUGCCAGAGUCUAGGGAUUUGUCUUGGGGGCCAGGCUGAAGGUUUGCUGCCCUUCUCCCCGCACUGCUCUGUGUUUCUCCAGAAAGCUGGAGCUGGCUGCCUGGGAGCGGCUGUCGCGAUGGCUGGGAGGGCCUCAGGAACGAAGCCUUUGUCUUUGCUCAGGUGUGUUCUCACAAUGGGGAGCCACGGCCCUCCCCAAGGACCAGCGAGCAAUGGGCGCAUCUCAUUCGCUGCCUGCAUUUGCCCCCGCCCAUCCAAGAGAGCAGAAUCAGAGAGGAAUUGAACUUUCUUGCCAACUUCCUCCAGAGCACAAGAUCAUCCCUCUUGGUCUCUAAACAAUACGCCAAUCAUCGGAUGGAAGUGAGGGGAGCGCUGACCUGUUAGCACCAAACACAGCCCAGGCCCGGAACGGGAGACACACAACAGGAGCAGAGCUGGCUUUCGUACCCGGCCUGGUAAAGACAACAUGUUCUUACAGGUGUCCUAGGCAAAUGGAGAACAUUAAGAAGUCACUGCACAGCCGAGCAUAACAUGCCUCGCUCUCUUUCACACAGACACACCAAGUCAGCAUUUCAAUUCAAGAAAGCUCCCAAGACAGAGGUGACACAGAAACACACUUUGGGGGGAAACUUCCCCCUUCCCUGGAAUAGGAUACCAUAUGUGUGACUCCCUCUCAGGGUCAGUAUGGCUGGAACAUGCCAUUUCUCCUCUAUCCAGUUACCCUACAUUCGACUCUGUCACUGUGACACCAUAUGCUGCCGGAACAACACAUCCUCAUUCCUUGGAAUAAAAAGGUCUUUCAUAAGACUUAUUAAGUCUGAAUCUUAAUCAUAGUCAUCAUUAUUCAGUCUGCUUGCUGUCCACAAUAUUGAAAUGAAGGGAAACAAGAAAUAGAAAAAGACAAGUUUACAAUCUUCAAGACACCAAUGAAUAAGAAACGAUGGCGAAGAAAGCAAGAGUGACCUCAAAAAAAGAAACGUCUUAAAGUGUAAAAAAAAAAAAUCCACAAAUAGACUCUUAGCUUUCAAUAUUAGUCUUUACUUUAAAAAUAAGGGGAGGGAUGAUUAAAGAGAUGAAUUCACAUUUGAAUAGAAUCCAAAUGACUUAAGAACUAUUUGGAUCCGAAUAUUUCAGUUGGAC